UAACGACUUCUCAACUGUCUCAACCAUAGACUCGGCGAAAUUGCACUACGAGUAAAGAUGCUCGUUACGCGCGGCAGGACGAAAAGACCCCGGGACCUUCACUAUAGCUUGGUAUUGUUGUUCGGUACGGUUUGUGUAGGAUAGGUGGGAGACUGUGAAACCUCGACGCUAGUUGAGGUGGAGUCGUUGUUGAAAUACCACUCUGAUCGUAUUGGACACCUAACGUCGAACCGUAUAUCCGGUUCACGGACAGUGCCUGGUGGGUAGUUUAACUGGGGCGGUUGCCUCCUAAAAUGUAACGGAGGCGCCCAAAGGUUCCCUCAACCUGGACGGCAAUCAGGUGUUGAGUGUAAAUGCACAAGGGAGCUUGACUGCGAGACUUACAAGUCAAGCAGGGACGAAAGUCGGGAUUAGUGAUCCGGCACCUCUGAGUGGAAGGGGUGUCGCUCAACGGAUAAAAGGUACCCCGGGGAUAACAGGCUGAUCUUC
rnacentral:rRNA from 1 species